GAUGAACGCUAGCGGCCGGCCUAAUACAUGCAAGUCGAGGGGCAGCGGGGUAGCAAUACUGCCGGCGACAGGCGCACGGGUGCGUAACACGUAUGCAGCCUACCUUCAACUGGGAGAUAGCCCGGGGAAACUCGGAUUAAUAUCCCAUAUUACAUCUGGUUUACAUGAAAUGAUUGUUAAAGAUUUAACGGUUUAAGAUGGGCAUGCUUUCGAUUAGCUAGUUGGUAAGGUAACAGCUUACCAAGGCUACGAUCGAUAGGGGGUCUGAGAGGAUGAUCCCCCACACUGGUACUGAGAUACGGACCAGACUUCGACUGGAGGCAGCAGUAGGGAAUAUUGGUCAAUGGAGGCAACUCUGAACCAGCCAUGCCGCGUGUAGGAAGAAGGCGUUCUGCGUUAUAAACUACUUUUGAUUGGGAACAAAUGACUCUUGCGAGAGUAGCUGAGUGUACCAAUAGAAUAAGCCACGGCUAACUACGUGCCAGCCGCCGCCGUAA
rnacentral:rRNA from 1 species